UCCCAAUUAUCUCGGGCAGUCCCCUGUGACAUGUAAAACACAGGGCAAGGGUUGCGUUCGUUACCCCAAUUAAGGGAACGUCUCAAGACACGAACUGACGACAACCAUGCAGCACCUGUCCAGCCGCCUUGUGAGGGGCCUCCGUUUCUGGAGGCUUUCGUCUGGAUUUCUAGACCUGGUAAGGUUCUUCGUUUGUUGUCGAAUUAAGCCACAUGGUCCACCGCUUGUGUGAGUCCCCGUCUAUUCCUUUGAGUUUUAAUCUUGCGAUCGUACUUCCCAGGCGGAAUACUUAAUGCGUUUGCUUCGCCACUGGCAGGGUCGACACUGCCAAUAGCUAGUAUUCAACGUUUACAGCGUGGACUA
rnacentral:misc_RNA from 1 species